rnacentral:rRNA from 1 species
GACGAACGCUGGCGGCGUGCCUAAUACAUGCAAGUUGAGCGCUGAAGGUUGGUACUUGUACCAACUGGAUGAGCAGCGAACGGGUGAGUAACGCGUGGGGAAUCUGCCUUUGAGCGGGGGACAACAUUUGGAAACGAAUGCUAAUACCGCAUAAAAACUUUAAACACAAGUUUUAAGUUUGAAAGAUGCAAUUGCAUCACUCAAAGAUGAUCCCGCGUUGUAUUAGCUAGUUGGUGAGGUAAAGGCUCACCAAGGCGAUGAUACAUAGCCGACCUGAGAGGGUGAUCGGCCAUAUUGGGACUGAGACACGGCCCAAACUCCUACGGGAGGCAGCAGUAGGGAAUCUUCGGCAAUGGACGAAAGUCUGACCGAGCAACGCCGCGUGAGUGAAGAAGGGUUUCGGAUCGUAAAACUCUGUUGGUAGAGAAGAACGUUGGUGAGAGUGGAAAGCUCAUCAAGUGACGGUAACUACCCAGAAAGGGACGGCUAACUACGUG